AUACGGAGGGUGCGAGCGUUAAUCGGAAUUACUGGGCGUAAAGCGUACGUAGGCGGUUGGUUAAGUUAGAUGUGAAAGCCCCGGGCUUAACCUGGGAACUGCAUUUAAAACUGGCGAACUAGAGUUGAGUAGAGGGGAGUGGAAUUUCAGGUGUAGCGGUGAAAUGCGUAGAGAUCUGAAGGAACACCAGUGGCGAAGGCGACUCCCUGGACUCGAACUGACGCUGAGGUGCGAAAGCGUGGGUAGCAAACAGGAUUAGAUACCCUAGUAGUCC
rnacentral:rRNA from 1 species